UACGUAGGGGGCUAGCGUUGUCCGGAUUCAUUGGGCGUAAAGAGCGUGUAGGCGGCCAGGUAGGUCGGUUGUGAAAACUGGAGGCUCAACCUUCAGACGUCGACCGAAACCAUCUGGCUAGAGUCCGGGAGAGGAGAGUGGAAUUCCUGGUGUAGCGGUGAAAUGCGCAGAUAUCAGGAAGAACACCCGUGGCGAAGGCGGCUCUCUGGGACGGUACUGACGCUGAGACGCGAAAGCGUGGGGAGCGAACAGG
rnacentral:rRNA from 1 species